CCUUUAGACGAAGAAGGCAAGAAUCCAGGCCAAGGGGAUUCAACAGAGUUGGAUUGCUGAGAAUAAAAUUACGGAUUUCUCCAUAAUGGACACACGCACUUUUUGUUUGUGCUGUUUCCUUUAGAAUGGACGAUGAGUCAAAAUUGUUCGUUUAUGCUUCUUCACAGAAGGAUCUUCUGUGUCGUAGGAGGUGGCCUGCAGCAAUCUGGACAUUCAGUGGUCCUCCUGUGAUUAAUAGGUGAACGGAUGAGCUAUUCUGAUAAGAACUGGGGAACUUUUGCCAUUCAAAAGCAAAUAGAAGAACUGGGAGAUUCCUCAACUUAGCUUUUCUUUUUUUUGGUUCUAAAGUGACUGCGAAUGGAGGUAGAAGAGAAGAAAAGCUUUCAAAAACAUCUUCCAUUAAGAAAAAUAUGUAUCUUCAUGAAGACCUAUCUGAGUAAAAUUACUAAAACAUAAUGGCUUUCUUGAAAUAGAAUGGAAUGAAAGGCAUAUUAGGGAGUAUGAAAGUAUGAAGAUUUUAUUAACAUACUUCUAGAAGUUUAUUAAAUAUCUGCACAGGAACUGUAAUUUGAGAUCAGUGGUGGAAAGAGAAUAAAGGAAUCACGUGGACAUCAGCUCUGAGGCCUGUGGCCCCACUUGCUUCUGGGCUUUCUAUAGACAUUUGCUGGUGACCUGCCCAGGCAGGCUAGAGUACCCUUCCUCAUUGCACCCUGUGUUCCCAUCCUCUUUUCCUUCCUUCCUUCCUUCCUUCCUUCCUUCCUUCCUUUCUUCCUCCAUCCCUUAUGAAACCCUCGUUGUGCAGUUACUUAUUAGGUGCUGUGUGAGCGUCUGAAGUCUCCCCUCACCCACUUUUCCAUUUGGGCCACUUGGCCAGUGAUUGCAUCAGUACCAGGGUUCUAGGAGCCAUGCAGGGAUCCCCAGUGGGCAGAGCUGGCCGUAGCAUUUGGAAAGGAAGAGAGAGAACUGGAGACAAUGCCUAGGAACAAAAGCAGAGUCCAGACCCAGGCAUCAAGUGCAAAUCCAAAGGCUCUGGAUGAGUCAGUUCCCAGCAAAGGGACACAAGUAGGCACAGAAGGAAGGACAGCAGAAAACACUGGUCCAGAGAGGGCCUGCAGAGCCAGAAGCGAUGACGCAUCCAAGGUUGUGUUUGACUUCUGCACUGCCUCUGCAACCUGUAAGCACAUCUGAGCCAGUUCAGAAAGUAGGAAAACCAAAGUAUAUCAGAAAUGGCCUCUUAUCAUCAAGGAGAUUUUGGUCUAGAUUGCUUAUUGCUCAGGAGAAAUCACCACUUUUUAAAAAGAUAUGCUGAGAUAGGGUUUAGUUGGGAUAGAAAAGGUUAUUAAACUACGGGACACCCUUCCUUUACAGAGUGUAAGCACUACUACCCCUUUUGUUUGUCUGUUUUUCUUAUUUUUCUCACAGAUGCAGUUCCUGCAUUAGUAUUGAUAAAUGUGUGGCUGCUCCACUUGGAGUGUUUUCAAAGCAUAAAUCACAGCAUUGAUGGUGCUGUGGUUUGGCUCUUCCAGCCCUCUUAACAACGGUCUGAUGGACUUGGCGAGAGUCUAGCCACGUGUUCUGGCCUCUGUCACUCUCAUGGCUGAAACGCAUGCACACCCACAGAUGGGGGCCCCGUGGUAGAGAUGUGCCUCUACUUGUCAAAUAGACUGACUCCAAAUUCGGAAAUAUGCCUCAGGAAUCUAGAAAGAUAGAAAAGGAGUCUUCGUCACUGUAGGGUCUCAUUCACAAUAUGGAGGAGAGAUGGAGGGGAGUUUUUGGUAUAAAUUUUGCCUCAUAAAAAUUCUCCACGUUGUUUUGUACUGUAUGAGGGUAGCGAGAAAUUAGUUGAUGGUUAACAAUCAAGCUGGAGAAGAAUAUCCUCAAUUUUUCACAUGGAAAAUGAAAAACUACAACUCCUUCCAAAUAUAUGUAUGUUUCUUUUCUGAAGAUAGACGUGUGUGUGUUUGUGUGUAUCAUAUAACAUUUAUUUUUUGAUUUCUUUGUUAUCAACAGUAAAAAUACAGAAAAUGAUGCCAAAGAG
rnacentral:lncRNA from 1 species